UACGGAGGGUGCAAGCGUUAAUCGGAAUUACUGGGCGUAAAGCGUACGUAGGCGGCUUGUUAAGCAAGAUGUGAAAUCCCCGGGCUCAACCUGGGAAUGGCAUUUUGAACUGGCAGGCUCGAGUGCUGAAGAGGGUGGUAGAAUUUCCAGUGUAGCGGUGAAAUGCGUAGAUAUUGGAAGGAAUACCGGUGGCGAAGGCGGCCACCUGGUCAGAAACUGACGCUGAGGUACGAAAGCGUGGGGAGCAAACAGG
rnacentral:rRNA from 1 species